rnacentral:miRNA from 1 species
UAGCUGCCUAGUGAAGGGCAAUA